GAGAAGAUGAAAUGAAAACAAACCAGCCAAAGUGGCUCUGAUACCACUUGAUAGAACCAAAAUAAAGAAGGAUCACUUUAGCUGGGUGUUGGAUAUGAACCGAGAAGCAAAUGGCGCUUCUGGAACUGAGAUGGAUUGAAAGGAUCGUCAAGAGAUGCGGAAUGGCUCUUGAUAUACCCACGAUCUAAGGCUAACCACCUAAGAACGAAUGUAGUGUGUUGGCUAACCACCAAACGACACACAAAGAUGAUUGGCUGACCACCAAAUCAACAAGCCGGUUCAAACCGAUGAACUAGCUAAGAACUCUCUCUCUCUAACUCAGAGAAG
rnacentral:lncRNA from 1 species